UACGAAGGGGGCUAGCGUUGCUCGGAAUGACUGGGCGUAAAGAGCUCGUAGGCGGUUUGUCGCGUCUGCUGUGAAAACCUAAGGCUCAACCUUGGGCUUGCAGUGGGUACGGGCAGACUAGAGUGCGGUAGGGGUGACUGGAAUUCCUGGUGUAGCGGUGGAAUGCGCAGAUAUCGGGAGGAACACCAGUAGCGAAGGCGGCACUCUGGGCCGUGACUGACGCUGAGGAGCGAAAGCGUGGGUAGCAAACAGG
rnacentral:rRNA from 1 species